GAUGAACGCUAGCUACAGGCUUAACACAUGCAAGUCGAGGGGAAACGAUAUUGGAAGCUUGCUUCUGAUAGGCGUCGACCGGCGCACGGGUGAGUAACGCGUAUCCAACCUGCCCAUCACUUGGGGAUAACCUUGUGAAAGUAAGACUAAUACCCAAUGACGUCUCUAGAAGACAUCUGAAAGAGAUUAAAGAUUUAUCGGUGAUGGAUGGGGAUGCGUCUGAUUAGCUUGUUGGCGGGUAACGGCCCACCAAGGCGACGAUCAGUAGGGGUUCUGAGAGGAAGGUCCCCCACAUUGGAACUGAGACACGGUCCAAACUCCUACGGGAGGCAGCAGUGAGGAAUAUUGGUCAAUGGACGAGAGUCUGAACCAGCCAAGUAGCGUGCAGGAAGACGGCCCUAUGGGUUGUAAACUGCUUUUAUAAGGGAAUAAAGUGAGUCUCGUGAGACUUUUUGCAUGUACCUUAUGAAUAAGGACCGGCUAAUUCCGUGCCAGCAG
rnacentral:rRNA from 1 species